rnacentral:pre_miRNA from 1 species
UUUGUACUCCCUCCGUCCCAAAAUUCUUGUCUUAAAUUUGUCUAAAUACGGAUGUAUCUAGUUACAUUUUAGUGUUAGAUACAUCCGUAUCUAAACAAAUGUAAGACAAGAAUUUUGGGACGGAGGGAANCAA